GACGAACGCUGGCGGCGUGCCUAAUACAUGCAAGUCGAACGCUGAAGGAGGAGCUUGCUUCUCUGGAUGAGUUGCGAACGGGUGAGUAACGCGUAGGUAACCUGCCUGGUAGCGGGGGAUAACUAUUGGAAACGAUAGCUAAUACCGCAUAAUAGUAGAUGUCGCAUGACAUUUGCUUAAAAGGUGCAAUUGCAUCACUACCAGAUGGACCUGCGUUGUAUUAGCUAGUUGGUGAGGUAACGGCUCACCAAGGCAACGAUACAUAGCCGACCUGAGAGGGGGCUCGGCCACACUGGGACUGUGACACGGCCCAGACUCCUACGGGAGGCAGCAGUAGGGCAUCUUCGGCAAUGGACGGAAGUCUGACCGAGCAACGCCGCGUGAGUGAAGAAGGUUUUCGGAUCGUAAAGCUCGGUUGUAAGAGAAGAACGAGUGUGAGAGUGGAAAGUUCACACUGUGACGGUAUCUUACCAGAAAGGGACGGCUAACUACGUG
rnacentral:rRNA from 1 species